rnacentral:rRNA from 1 species
CGCCUCUUGAACAAAAAACAUAAGAGGUACUGCCUGCCCAGUGACAACCGUUCAACGGCCGCGGUAUCAUGACCGUGCAAAGGUAGCGUAAUCACUUGUCUUUUAAAUAAAGACCAGUAUGAAUGGCAAAACGAAAGCUCAACUGUCUCCCCAGGCCAGUCAAUGAAAUUGAUCCCCCCGUGAAGAAGCGGGGGUAUUUAUACAAGACGAGAAGACCCUAUGGAGCUUUAAACCUGACUAACUUCACCAAAACAAUAUUUAAUAAAUGAUUUUUAUAUAAGGUUUUAGGUUGGGGCGACCACGGGGAAAAACCCAACCCCCGAGAUGAAUAUAAGCCUAGAAAAACUACUCAAAGCAACAAUAAUCUUGACAUAAUUGACCCAAUAAUUGAUCAACGAACCAAGUUACCCUAGGGAUAACAGCGCAAUCCUCCCACAAAGUCCCUAUCGACGGGCGGGUUUACGACCUCGAUGUUGGAUCAGGACCCCCAAAUGGUGCAACCGCUAUUAAAGGUUCGUUUGUUCAACGAUUAUAGUCCU